CUGGAAUUUCAUCUGAUUCUUGCCCACAGUGAAAAUAAAUCUGAAUUUCUACUUUUAAAAGAAAAGACAUUAAUUAAGAUUACAUUUCACUAUGGGAAAUAGGAAAGAAUGACUUUAAAGGCCCAGAAAAAAGCCAGCCCCAGGAAGCCAAGAAAAGACAGAGGAAAGGUUCAGUGAGUGUAACUGGCGCUAUAGGAAAUGUUAACAACUGGGUGGUCAUCAUCUCCAAAGGCUCUAAUGCACUGGUUUGGAAAAAACAACAACUGGACACCAAUGAUUGAGGAAAACAAAUUGCAUCAACUACCAAAAUGAAGCAUCCUGAGCCAGGCUGAUCAUCUAAAGUCACACACACUGAUUGGGGGAUGAACCGUGAAGGAAAACCACAGGGUACAGAUGCAUGGAGAGUGAGCUGCAGUGAGUUGUAAGGAUGCAUUCACUCACCAUAGCCUUUCCAGGGCUGUAGGUUAUUUAUUAUUCUUGCUUCCAGAGGCUUUUGCAAAAGAAACGCUUGCUUAAUAAUAAGUUUUAAAUAAUUCUAUUGUACCGUCAGUGCUUUUUAAUGGUCAGUACUAUGUGUACACCAUUGUUGAUUCUGCGGUGACACGUUGCCUAUCUGAAAGAAUAUGUCUGUAAGAUAGGGAACUGGGCCACAGUCAUUCUAGAACAAGUGGGAAUUUUUCAAGCCUACAUACCCCCCUCUUUUUUUUUUUUGAAGAUAUUCUUUAACAAGAGAGGAUGGAACAUGGUACUAGAGAGGUUGAUGGCAGAGAUCGUUUUCUAAAAUAGUGAGAAUAACUAGAGCCAGGGACUUGGAU
rnacentral:lncRNA from 1 species